GUCGUAACAAACAAACUUGUGAUUACGACUAACGAAAUUUGCAUAGCUAAAAACCCAUUAUCUAAUCGGACAAUGGGUUACAAUCAACUUUGAGAGCCUCUCAUUCUGUACACAAUUUAUUAUUGUUAUUUAAAGGAACUUAACGUAGACAAAACACUACUAUCUGUAGUCAAUAAUCUGAAUUGAAUUCGUUGAUAUCAUGAAUCGUCUUCGGCUAGAGCUAUAAAAAGGUCAAAUACAGAAAGUAUAUUAUUAAAUUAUCGUGGAAUGCGGGUUUGAACACCAGUAUUAUGGGGGCCACACGUUCCAGAAUUACACUACAAAACAACUGAACGGUUACAUUAAAGUAUCAAGCUGUUGUAAACGACCUUAUAGUAUUUUUUUUAUAUUUAUAUUACUGACAUUCUUAAAGUUAUUUGCAGAUAUGGAGAAAAAUCGAAUUUGUAUCGGACAGAAUACAACCACUAGUAGUUAGCAGUACUAAAGAAAGUUAAAAGUCCUGAACGUGCCUAGAACAUAAAGUCUACAAUAUAUAACAUUAAACCAGGCUUUCGAAGUGAAACGUCGAAAUACGUGUUUACUCAUAGGAUUUAGGGAUCGAUCUGUUGGUGAAAGGUUACAUCGGCUAUAAAGCUAUUAAAUGAGAUCUUUUCUGGCACAAAAUCUAUACACUUGAAGCCACAAUAGAACACAGGUUAGUAAUCUUUUCAUAUCAGUUGUGUUGUAGGUACGUCUGAAGUACAGGAAAUAUAAAUAAAAUAGGCUCUAGUAAGUAUUUUUAAAAGCAGUAGGUUUUCUGAUGCAGCAAUUUGAAUUGUUUUGUGUUAAAACUAGUAAAUCACCGGAUGUAAGCCAAUUUGGGUAAAAGAGGCUUUUAUUACUUAUGAAUUUGCGUUAUAGGUACUUCCAAAUUUAGUGGUAAGCAAGUAGUACUAGUGAUAAGUAUUAAUGUCAGAUCAUUCAAUCUUUAAAGUAAGCAAUAAAGACGUAAAAAUGUUGUCGCUUCUAUUUAUACAUUGUGGUAAUUCCACCUAAUUUAAGACAGGUUGAUAUGUCUUAUGUACAGGUUGAGAUUGAGAGAUUUGAACUCCGGAUGUGUAAUUGACUAAACAGAUUUAUCUGGGGAACAAUUUGCUGAAUGUGUAGGCAGAACAAUUCCAGGAUGAGAUGAGUAUUUAAAUAUGUAUCAAACAAUUGAACAAAUAACGUUCUUAAAUAUAUGACAUAGGUAUAAGCCGGGAUGAAAGAAAAUUGUUUAUUUGCACCGGAUUUACCAAUAGCAUGUCUUUGUAUGUAAACAAACGCCAAAAGUAAAUAAACACAUUGGAAUUAGAGAAAAUCAUACAGGAAAUGGCGCUUUCAUUUGUAAGGAAUAUAAAAAUUUAAUUCAUUGUAUAGGCAAUCAAAAGCACCAGAAUUUUAACAUACAAGGGUGUGCCAUUGGAAAGUAAGAUUGUAGAGAAGAACAUAAUGCAUUUAUAUCCGAUGCAAUUGUCCAGCUUUCUACAUACGGCCGAAUCGUCUUCUAAACAUGCAUAAAUAGUGGAACAAACCAGUAAUUACUUUCUAUUGUGCUGAGCUUGGAAUAUCCUUGAUAAAAAUACAACUGAAUGUCACUACACCUGCCAAAUGUUCUCCUCGCAAACCGAAUCCCGGUAACAACAACACUCCAGAAACAUACACAAAAUAAGGAACACUUAAGUGAAACGGAUAGUGUUCGUUUUCGGUUUAUUUCGCAAAUGUCUACUUAAAAACACGAAAACAUUGCGGAUGCCACAAUCAUAUCACGACGCCAUAUUAAACUGUCACGACCGCCUGCGUACAACACCACAGCGACGAUAAAUAAAACUGUGCAGGAUGGACGUUAUUGUACUGUUGCCAAGUUUUCAAAAAGUCCUUAGAAGUACUUCAGAGAGUUUUUGCAAGCAUAAUGAUUAACACUCAAUAGUACACUGUGAUUCAAAAUUAGAGUAAUUUCUAAUGACGGGUUCCUGGAGCUUACUAAAAUGAGUUCCGAAAAAAAAAGUGUUUAGCUUAUUUCUCGAAUAAUUUCAAUUUUGUUAUUAAGCAAUAUUUUAAAGAAAGGUUGUUGAUCUGUUAUGUUGCGCAAAAUACUUUAAAUAUUUUAAAAUCAUUGCAAAACUUGCUUCAAUAUAAAGGAAAUCUCUAUUUGGUCAAAAUAAUAUUCUGUAUUUUUAUGAAAUAUCACAACGGCAUCCCAGCAGAUAUUUGUUGACAAACAUGUCAUCCGUACAGAAUAUUUGCGGUUAGUUUUUAUACGGUGCUCCUCAAAGCUUUAAAUGUUCAACAAUGUAAGAAAUGCCACAAAUUUGCCUUCUUUGAGAAGACUCUCAAUUGGUGAAAUCUCCAAUAUCACAGUCUGUUAUGUAUUUCAAGCAAUUUCAAGCAAUGCUAAUGGCCAAUAGAAAAAUCAUCAAAGAACGUGACGGAGUCUGCUGAUUACUGAAGUCCUACUGAAGGUCAUAGAUAAAGACGAGUACUGUAGAGUAGAGAGCUGAAGGUACUCAUAAAAAACAACUAAGACCAUGCUGAACUUGAUAAUGUUCGACCAAGGAGUUUUACACAGGAGCACAAGACUUUGGAAGAAAGGUUACGUUACUAUCGUUUAAUAAGGAUUUCAAAUUUUCCCACAAACCUUUCCAUUUAAACAUCAAAUUCUGCAGAUUCGAACUUCAUAUAAGAAAUGGAAACUGAUGUUGUGAAAUGUUGAUAUGAAGAGAAGUGGUGCACUUCUGUGAUACAACUCUUGCAGUUUCACCUGUUACCUGUAUUGAUUUAUGCAUAAAGCGACAGGUGGCUGCAUUAUGUUAAUUCGAAAAACGUCUUUUGCAGGUGCGAAUUAAAUACACGGUGGCCAAAGACAUUAGUAAUUUAAAUCUGAGACUGUGGCCAAAUGUCUGAGUAGUUUUUUUGCAAUUUCCAAAAAUUAUUUUUUCUUUAAUCGAGUAACUAGAUCUCCCAGUAAAAUGAGGUCAAUUUCAAGACACUCCGUAUACUUCGAUAAAUUGUAAAUGAAAUAAAUCAGAGCUGGAGUGCUUAAAUAAUCAAGUUCAAUCCCAGAGAGAUAUACAUGUAUACCCUGUAGGGUGUCUCACGUAAACAUAAACGAGACAUUGGGUUAUUCUAUAAUUUUCGCUCCUUCUGUAGUUGCUCGUGAUCUAACGAAGUAAUUUACUUUUAGCUUAUAUUAAAAAGUACAAUUUUUUAUAUUUCAAAAACGACUGUAUUUUUUCUCUAUGUAAGUUUUUGAUUCGUAAUGGCAUUGAUUACGGAAACUCACAGGAUUCGGUUCUACAUUCUGUUUAUUUUUCAUAUUUACAAUGUAUUCAUACCUAUAAUCGCGAAUAAAUAAAUAAAUUCUGUAAAUUACCUCUGA